GGGGAUGUAGCUCAAAUGGUAGAGCGCUCGUUUUGCAUGCGAGCGGAGUACGGGGUUCGACACCCCGCGUCUCCA
rnacentral:tRNA from 1 species